GCACCAAUUCCAUGAACAAGUACCUCAAAAUAAGAGAACAAAAUAAAAAAAAAACUAUGAUUUGGACCCUUGCAGCAAUGCUUAAGUGUCCAUGCUUUGUGUUUUUUUAAAUUAUGUCCAACACAUUACUAAUAUCCGUGACACAUUUUUUCUGGAUUUUAAACGUUAAAGAAUCCUAAAAUAUAUCGUGCACCAGUUCUAUGGCAACCACCUCAAAAUAGGAGAAAAAAAUAAUAAAAAAAAUGAUUUAGACCCUUGCAACAAUAUUUAAGUGUCAAUGUUCUGCAAUUUUUUUAAAUUAUGUCGAACGCAUUACUAAUAUCUGUGACAUAUUUUUUCC
rnacentral:lncRNA from 1 species